AAUGAGGCUGCAGGCUGUUGUUUAUGUUAGCCUUGAUUUUGUAAUGUAAUGGGAAGGUUGAAUGGGGAGAUUGUUGUUUUUUCUUUUGGACAGUUGGUUUGAUUUUGGGCUGACUUGUUGGGGGAGACUUUGAGCUGAAUGUAAUAUCUCAUCUCCCAACCUCUUUGGACUUUAAUAAUGUUGCUUGAAAAUUUAUCAUUUUGGUGUUGUUUAGGGCCACAAUCCAAUCUACAUCAUUAAUGUUAAUGAGCACAGAUACUGUUGAGCAAGGUUUAUUUGCACUCUUGAAAUUGUAUUAUAACGUAGAGACACCUUUAAACAAGGUUUAUUGGUAUGAUGGGAGUUAGUAUUUCAAACUACAAUGAUAAUGAUAUGUGAAACAAUACUUAGUCAUUUAUGAAUGAAAACUCCAAAAAG
rnacentral:lncRNA from 1 species